GGUCCGAACCCACGAGCGUUGAAAAGCUCGGGGAUGACUUGUGGGUAGCGGUGAAAUUCCAAUCGAGCCCGGAGAUAGCUGGUUCUCCCCGAAAUAGCUUUAGGGCUAGCCUCAAGGUGAGAGAUACGGAGGUAGAGCACUGAAUGUCCUAGGGGGUAUUGCACCUACCGAAGACUAUCAAACUCCGAAUGCCGUCAUCUUAUACUUGGGAGUCAGACUGUGGGUGAUAAGAUUCAUAGUCGAAAGGGCAACAGCCCAGAUCGUCAGCUAAGGUCCCUAAAUGUAAGUUAAGUGGUAAAGGAUGUGGGAUUGCACAGACAACCAGGAUGUUGGCUUAGAAGCAGCCACUCAUUCAAAGAGUGCGUAAUAGCUCACUGGUCGAGUGAUCCUGCGCCGAAGAUUUCCGGGGCUAAAACUUACUACCGAAGCUACGGCAUCAGUAAUGAUGGGUAGGGGAGCUUCCCAUACGGGUUGAAGCAUGACCGUAAGGACAUGUGGACAGUAUGGGAGUGAGAAUGUUGGCAUGAGUAGCGAGAUGUGGGUGAGAAUCCCACAGGCCGUAAACCCAAGGUUUCCAGGGGAAGGUUCGUCCGCCCUGGGUUAGUCGGGACCUAAGCUGAGGCCGAAAGGCGUAGGUGAUGGACAACAGGUUGAUAUUCCUGUACUACCGAUAACCGUUUGAGAGAAGGGAUGACACAGUAGGAUAAGCUAAGCACACUGUUGGUUAUGUGUGCCCAAGCAUUGAGGCAGUCAAAGUAGGCAAAUCCGCUUUGAUAAUGCUGGGAUGUGAUGGGGAGCGAAAUUUAGUAGCGAAGUAGCUGAUUUCACACUGUCAAGAAAAGUCUCUAUCGAGGUUAAAGGUACCCGGACCGCAAACCGACACAGGUGGGUGAGGAGAGUAUCCUAAGGCCAGCGAGAGAACUGUUGUUAAGGAACUCGGCAAAAUGACCCCGUAACUUAGGGAUAAGGGGUGCCACCAUCAGGUGGCCGCAGAGAAUAGGCCCAAGCGACUGUUUACCAAAAACAUAGGUUUCUGCUAAGUCGCAAGACGAUGUAUAGGAGCUGACGCCUGCCCGGUGCUGGAAGGUUAAGGGGAUCUGUUAGAGUAAUCGAAGCAGUGAACUUAAGCCCCAGUAAACGGCGGCCGUAACUAUAACGGUCCUAAGGUAGCGAAAUUCCUUGUCGGGUAAGUUCCGACCCGCACGAAAGGCGUAACGAUUUGGGCACUGUCUCAACAACAGACUCGGUGAAAUUGUAAUUCCGGUGAAGAUGCCGGAUACCUGCGACAGGACGGAAAGACCCCAUGGAGCUUUACUGUAGCUUGACAUUGGGUC
rnacentral:rRNA from 1 species